GACGAACGCUGGCGGCGUGCCUAAUACAUGCAAGUUGAGCGAUGAAGCUUGGUGCUUGCACCAAUUUGAAGAGCAGCGAACGGGUGAGUAACGCGUGGGGAAUCUGCCUUUGAGCGGGGGACAACAUUUGGAAACGAAUGCUAAUACCGCAUAACAACUUUAAACAUAAGUUUCAAGUUUGAAAGAUGCAAUUGCAUCACUCAAAGAUGAUCCCGCGUUGUAUUAGCUAGUUGGUGAGGUAAAGGCUCACCAAGGCGAUGAUACAUAGCCGACCUGAGAGGGUGAUCGGCCACAUUGGGACUGAGACACGGCCCAAACUCCUACGGGAGGCAGCAGUAGGGGAUCUUCGGCAAUGGACGGAAGUCUGACCGAGCAACGCCGCGUGAGUGAAGAAGGUUUUCGGAUCGUAAAACUCUGUUGGUAGAGAAGAACGUUGGUGAGAGUGGAAAGCUCAUCAAGUGACGGUAACUACCCAGAAAGGGACGGCUAACUACGUG
rnacentral:rRNA from 1 species